CAGUCGCCGCGGUAAUACAGAGGGUGCAAGCGUUAAUCGGAAUUACUGGGCGUAAAGCGCGCGUAUGUGGUUUGUUAAGUUGGAUGUGAAAUCCCCGGGCUCAACCUGGGAACUGCAUCCAAAACUGGCAAGCUAGAGUAUGGUAGAGGGUGGUGGAAUUUCCUGUGUAGCGGUGAAAUGCGUAGAUAUAGGAAGGAACACCAGUGGCGAAGGCGACCACCUGGACUGAUACUGACACUGAGGUGCGAAAGCGUGGGGAGCAAACAGGAUUAGAUACCCCAGUAGUCCCUGUCUCUUAUAC
rnacentral:rRNA from 1 species